rnacentral:rRNA from 1 species
AUUGAACGCUGGCGGCAGGCCUAACACAUGCCAGUCGAGCGAGCGGCGGACGGGUGAGUAAUGUCUGGGUAACUGCAUGUUGGAGGGGGAUAACUACUGGAAACGGUAGCUAAUACUGCACCUCAUCAGAUCUGUCCCGAUGGGAUUAGCUAGUAGGGGGGGUAACGGCUCACCUAGGCGACGAUCCCUAGCUGGUCUGAGAGGAUGACCAGCCACCAUGGAACUGAGACACGGUCCAGACUCCUACGGGAGGCAGCAGUGGGGAAUAUUGCACAAUGGGCGCAAGCCGGAUGCAGCCAGGCCGCGUGUGUGAAGAAGGCCUUCGGGUUGUAAAGCACUUUCAGCGGGGAGGCGUUACCCGCAGAAGAAGCACCGGCUAACUCCGUGCCAGCAGCCGCGGUAAUAC